UUUGGGUUAUACCCAUACAAACGUGUGUGUGUGUGUGUGUGUGUGUGUGUGUGUGUGUGUGUGUGCUCGCGCGCGCACAUGCUCUGAGAUACCCCCUCCCCCCAUUACCCUGACCAGGGUAAGUGAUGGGAAAAACAGAUGGACGAAUUCUGUUAUACGAAAUACUAUAACCUGAAGAAACUGAAGGAGGCAGCACUGAGCAACGCACACGUGACAACAGGCUGAUGCCCACGUUAGCCGUCCCGGCUUAAGACAGCCCUCUGAGGCUCACAGGGGCUUCGGUGUCCCCUUCCUGGCAUCUCUGUGCCCUUCUGACGUCACCGUGAGGCUCUCCGGACAGAGGGACGGCCUGACGUCAGCCUAACCGAAGAAUGACUGAUGAAAGUAUCAAAGGAGGCACCAGCAGAGGGCGCUUCCCCUCUAAUGUGCCACACUACUCCAUCUUCCUCUGGGAAUGCAAUGACAUGCAGAUCGGCUGGCUGGCACCUCUAUUACAACCUGGAUUGUGUGUGUGACAGAUGGGCCUCCUACCCAGCAUGGGAUAGGCUCCAGGCCCCUCUCAUGACCCUGUCCAAGGUAAGUGGUUGGAAGGUGGAUGGAUGGGUGGAUGGAUGGGUGGAUGGAUGGAUGGGUGGAUGAAUGGAUGGAUGGG